UGGGCAACCUGCCCCUGACUCUGGGAUAACCCCGGGAAAACCGGAGCUAAUACCGGAUACGACGAGGAGAGUCCUCUCUUUCUCGUGGAAAGGUUUACUGGUCAGGGAUGGGCCCGCGGCCUAUCAGCUUGUUGGUGGGGUCAUGGCUCACCUAGGCGACGACGGGUAGCUGGUCUGAGAGGAUGGCCAGCCACAUUGGGACUGAGACACGGCCCAGACUCCUACGGGAGGCA
rnacentral:rRNA from 1 species